AGUGAACGCUGGCGGUAGGCCUAACACAUGCAAGUCGAACGGCAGCACAGUAAGAGCUUGCUCUUACGGGUGGCGAGUGGCGGACGGGUGAGGAAUACAUCGGAAUCUACUUUUUCGUGGGGGAUCACGUAGGGAAACUUACGCUAAUACCGCAUACGACCUACGGGUGAAAGCAGGGGAUCUUCGGACCUUGCGCGAUUGAAUGAGCCGAUGUCGGCUUAGCUAGUUGGCGGGGGAAAGGCCCACCAAGGCGACGAUCCGUAGCUGGUCUGAGAGGAUGAUCAGCCACACUGGAACUGAGACACGGUCCAGACUCCUACGGAAGGCAGCAGUGGGGAAUAUUGGACAAUGGGCGCAAGCCUGAUCCAGCCAGACCGCGUGGGUGAAGAAGGCCUUCGGGUUGUAAAGCCCUUUUGUUGGGAAAGAAAAGCAGCAGGUUAAUACCCCGCUGUUCUGACGGUACCCAAAGAAUAAGCACCGGCUAACUUCGUG
rnacentral:rRNA from 1 species